UUAUUAUUGAGUUUGAUCCUGGCUCAGGGUGAACGCUAGAAGUAUACUUAACACAUGCGAGUCGAACGAAAAAAGAUUCAUCUUUUUUAGUGGCGUACGGGUGAGUAAUACAUAGGAACUUACCUUUUUGUUCAGUUUAAAAUCCUGAAUUUGAAAGAAAUAAUUUCGCAAAAAGAUAGGCCUAUGGAAGAUUAGGUAGUUGGUAGGGUAAUUGCUUACCAAGCCUCUGAUCUUUAGCUGUACUGAGAGGUUGGUCAGCCACACUGGGACUGAGACAAGGCCCAGGCUUCCUUCGAAGCCAGCAGUGAGGAAUUUUGGACAAUGAGCGGAAGCUUGAUCCAGUAAUACUUCAUGAGUGAAGACAGCUUUCAAGUUGUAAAGCUCUUUGGUCGGUGAGGAUUAUGACAGUAAUUGACUGAAUAGCCCCGGCUAACUUCGUGCCAGCAGCCGCGGUAAGACGAAGGGGGCGAGCGUUACCCGGAAUGACUGGGCGUAAAGGGUCCGUAGGUAGUAUUUUUUGUUAAAGGUGAAAGAUGAAAGCUUAACUUUUUUUAAGCCUUUAAAACGUUUAUACUUUGAGUUUGAAGGAGGAUAGCAGAAUUUCACAUGGAGGGGUGAUAUCCUUAGAGAUGUGAAGGAAUACCAGAGGCGAAGGCGGCUAUCUAGUUCAAUACUGACACUGAGGGACGAAAGCAUGGGGAGCAAACAGGAUUAGAUACCCUGGUAGUCCAUGCCCUAAAAUAUGAGUGCUUGUGCUGAGAGUUUUUUUUGGCACUAAGCUAACGCUUUAAGCACUCCGCCUGGGGAGUACGACCGCAAGGUUGGAACUCAAAGGAAUUGACGGGGGCCUAUACAAGUGGUGGAGCAUGUGGUUUAAUGCGAUAAUACGCGCGGAACCUUACCAGCUCUUGACAUUAAGGGUUGAAUUUUGGAAACAUUACAUUAUUUUUUCCUUAACAGGUGCUGCAUGGCUGUCGUCAGCUCGUGUCGUGAGAUGUUAGGUUAACUCCUUUUUAACGGGCGAAACCCCUGUUUUUAGUUGCUAUUUUUUCAAUGUGAAAAAAGAACUUUAAAAAUACUGCUCUUUUUCUUUGGAACUCGAGAGGAAGGUGGGGAUGACGUCAAGUCCUUAUGGCCCUUAUGAGCUGGGCUACACACGUGCUACAAUGGUAAUUACAAAAAGAGGCAAUAAGGAAACUUGGAGCAAAUCUUUAAAGAUUACCUUAGUUCAGAUUGUGGGCUGAAAUUCGCCCACAUGAAGUUGGAAUCACUAGUAAUCGCAAAUCAGAAUGUUGCGGUGAAUUUGUACCUAGGCCUUGUACACACCGCCCGUCACGUGCCGGGAGUUGGCUUGGCUAGAAAGCUAUACCUUUAUCAUGAAAAAAAAGUGUUUUCUCCUUUAAGGUUAGAGAAUUUUUUUGGGUGUGAGAAGGGUAGAUUACGGAUGAGUCGAUAACUGGGAUGAAGUCGUAACAAGGUAGUCGUACGGGAACGUGCGGCUGGAAUUUGAAUGCA
rnacentral:rRNA from 1 species